AUGAACGCUAGCUACAGGCUUAACACAUGCAAGUCGCGGGGCAGCAUGGGGGUUGCUUGCAAUCCCCGAUGGCGACCGGCGCACGGGUGAGUAACGCGUAUCCAACCUGCCCUUCACCACGGGAUAACCCGGCGAAAGUCGGACUAAUACCGUAUGUUGUCCAUUGACGGCAUCCGAUUUGGACGAAAGGUUUGGCGGUGAAGGAUGGGGAUGCGUCCGAUUAGCUGGACGGCGGGGUGACGGCCCACCGUGGCGACGAUCGGUAGGGGUUCUGAGAGGAAGGUCCCCCACACUGGAACUGAGACACGGUCCAGACUCCUACGGGAGGCAGCAGUGAGGAAUAUUGGUCAAUGGGCGUAAGCCUGAACCAGCCAAGUAGCGUGCAGGAUGACGGCCCUAUGGGUCGUAAACUGCUUUUAUGCGGGGAUAAAGUGGCCCACGUGUGGGUUUUUGCAGGUACCGCAUGAAUAAGGACCGGCUAAUUCCGUG
rnacentral:rRNA from 1 species